rnacentral:rRNA from 1 species
UGAUUCGUCACACUAUCAUUAACUGAAUCCAUAGGUUAAUGAGGCGAACCGGGGGAACUGAAACAUCUAAGUACCCCGAGGAAAAGAAAUCAACCGAGAUUCCCCCAGUAGCGGCGAGCGAACGGGGAGCAGCCCAGAGCCUGAAUCAGUGUGUGUGUUAGUGGAAGCGUCUGGAAAGGCGUGCGAUACAGGGUGACAGCCCCGUACACAAAAAUGCACAUACUGUGAGCUCGAUGAGUAGGGCGGGACACGUGGUAUCCUGUCUGAAUAUGGGGGGACCAUCCUCCAAGGCUAAAUACUCCUGACUGACCGAUAGUGAACCAGUACCGUGAGGGAAAGGCGAAAAGAACCCC